AAAAAAAAAAAAAAUCAAACAAAAAUUUAAAUAAAGAAUGAAUUUUCAUUCUAAGACAAUUACACUGAAUUUUGGUACAGAAGAGGAUUUCCAAGAAAUGAUUUAUGAAUUGUAUUACAGUGGUAUGGAACAUGAAAGAAAACAAAUCCAGUGUUUUUAAACACUAUCCUUUCAAGCAAGCAGAGCUGCAGCUUUGAAAUGAUCAAUCUAUUUUAUCUCUAGCAAAAACCUACAGAUGUUGCUAUAGCAAAGACUUAUGUAUCUCGGCCAAAGCAAUGUUGUUCUGGGCCUUUUCCAGCUAGAAACAGUUUAACUGGAAACAGCAGUGGCUGGAAGGGACAGCUCAGCUCACCCAGAGGAGGACAUGUGCCAGAGAUUUAUGAUCAUGGACAUUUCAGUUUCACACAUUGGAAAGAACUUUCAAACCUCAACUUUAUGUAUCAGUCUCUGGAAGAGAAGACAUACCUACAGGAG